rnacentral:rRNA from 1 species
GAUGAACGCUGGCGGUGUGCCUAAUACAUGCAAGUCGAGCGAACAGACGAGGAGCUUUUUCCUUUGACGUUAGCGGCGGACGGGUGAGUAACACGUGGGUAACCUUCCUAUUUGUCUGGGAUAACUUCGGGAAACCGGAGCUAAUACCGGAUAAUAUUUCGAACCGCUGGGUUCGAUAGAGAAUGAUGGCUUUCCUAUUACUUAUAGAUGGACCUGCGCCGUAUUAGCUAGUUGGUAAGGUAACGGCUUACCAAGGCAACGAUACGUAGCCGACCUGAGAGGGUGAUCGGCCACACUGGAACUGAGACACGGUCCAGACUCCUACGGGAGGCAGCAGUAGGGAAUCUUCCGCAAUGGGCGAAAGCCUGACGGAGCAACGCCGCGUGAGUGAUGAAGGUCUUCGGAUCGUAAAACUCUGUUAUUAGGGAAGAACAAACGUGUAAGUAACUGUGCACGUCUUGACGGUACCUAAUCAGAAAGCCACGGCUAACUACGUG